AAUGAACGUUGGCGGCGUGGAUUAGGCAUGCAAGUCGAGCGAGAACCCGCAAGGGGGACAGCGGCGAACGGGGUAGGAAUACGUAGGUAACGUACCCUCGGGGCGAGGACAGCCACGGGAAACUGUGGGUAAUACUCGAUAAACUUCCCAAUCAUUAUGGAAGGGGAAGCAAUGGGUGUGAUUCCACCUGAGGAGCGGCUUACGCAGUAUCAGCUAGUUGGUGAGGUAACGGCUCACCAAGGCUACGACGCUUAGGGGGUGUGAGAGCAUGGCCCCCACCACUGGCACUGAGACACUGGCCAGACACCUACGGGUGGCUGCAGUCGAGAAUCUUCGGCAAUGGACGCAAGUCUGACCGAGCGACGCCGCGUGUGGGAUGAAGGCCUUCGGGUUGU
rnacentral:rRNA from 1 species